rnacentral:rRNA from 1 species
CUGGUGAUUCAUGAUAACUCCUCGAAUCGCAUGGCCUUGCGCCGGCGAUGGUUCAUUCAAAUUUCUUCCCUAUCAACUUUCGAUGUUUGGGUAUUGGCCAAACAUGGUUGCAACGGGUAACGGAGGGUUAGGGCUCGACCCCGGAGAAGGAGCCUGAGAAACGGCUACUACAUCCAAGGAAGGCAGCAGGCGCGCAAAUUACCCAAUCCCGACACGGGGAGGUAGUGACAAUAAAUACUGAUACAGGGCUCUUUUGGGUCUUGUAAUUGGAAUGAGUACAAUUUAAAUCCCUUAACGAGGAACAAUUGGAGGGCAAGUCUGGUGCCAGCAGCCGCGGUAAUUCCAGCUCCAAUAGCGUAUAUUAAAGUUGUUGUGGUUAAAAAGCUCGUAGUUGAACCUUGGGCCUGGCUGGCCGGUCCGCCUCACCGCGUGUACUGGUCCGGCCGGGCCUUUCCCUCUGUGGAACCCCAUGCCCUUCACUGGGCGUGGCGGGGAAACAGGACUUUUACUGUGAAAAAAUUAGAGUGCUCCAGGCAGGCCUAUGCUCGAAUACAUUAGCAUGGAAUAAUAGAAUAGGACGUGUGGUUCUAUUUUGUUGGUUUCUAGGACCGCCGUAAUGAUUAAUAGGGACAGUCGGGGGCAUCAGUAUUCAAUUGUCAGANGUGAAAUUCUUGGAUUUAUUGAAGACUAACUACUGCGAAAGCAUUUGCCAAGGAUGNUUUUAUUAAUCANGAACCAAAGUUANG